rnacentral:tRNA from 1 species
AGAUAGAUGGCUGAGUGGCUUAAGGCACUUGAUUGAAAACCAAGAGUACGGUUUCGUACCGAGAAUUCGAAUCUCUCUCUAUCCGCAA